rnacentral:rRNA from 1 species
CCUACGGGAGGCAGCAGUAGGGAAUCUUCCACAAUGGACGAAAGUCUGAUGGAGCAACGCCGCGUGAGUGAUGAAGGUUUUCGGAUCGUAAAACUCUGUUGUAAGGGAAGAACAAGUACGAGAGGGAAUGCUCGUACCUUGACGGUACCUUGCGAGAAAGCCACGGCUAACUACGUGCCAGCAGCCGCGGUAAUACGUAGGUGGCAAGCGUUGUCCGGAAUUAUUGGGCGUAAAGCGCGCGCAGGCGGCCUUUUAAGUCUGAUGUGAAAGCCCCCGGCUCAACCGGGGAGGGUCAUUGGAAACUGGAAGGCUUGAGUACAGAAGAGAAGAGUGGAAUUCCAUGUGUAGCGGUGAAAUGCGUAGAGAUGUGGAGGAACACCAGUGGCGAAGGCGACUCUUUGGUCUGUAACUGACGCUGAGGCGCGAAAGCGUGGGGAGCAAACAGGAUUAGAUACCCUGGUAGUCCACGCCGUAAACGAUGAGUGCUAGGUGUUGGGGGGUUUCCGCCCCGUNGUGCUGAGACUACGACAUAAGUACACUCCGCCGUCGGGUAGGUACGGCCGCGACGGACGAGAACGUACAAAGAGUAAGUUAGUACGGCGUGAGACGUAGACCGACGGACGACGACGAGGGAGGAGG